GCUGCAGGCGAUGUCAAGGACAAAACCUGUGCAUCUGUGGAACGGUGCGGGGCAAGGGGGGAAACGGAAAGCCUCCGCAGAAGCUGAUGCCAGUGGCCUUCCCCUGAAGCGCAGCCAUGUGGAAAGCCAGGAGUGUGGCACAGCACCCAAGAGAGCAGUGGCGAG